CUACCCGCUGAACUUAAGCAUAUCAAUAAGCGGA
rnacentral:rRNA from 1 species